UACGUAGGGUGCGAGCGUUGUCCGGAAUUACUGGGCGUAAAGAGCUCGUAGGUGGUUUGUCGCGUUGUUCGUGAAAACCUGAGGCUUAACCUUGGGCGUGCGGGCGAUACGGGCAGACUGGAGUACUGCAGGGGAGACUGGAAUUCCUGGUGUAGCGGUGGAAUGCGCAGAUAUCGGGAGGAACACCAGUAGCGAAGGCGGCACUCUGGGCCGGUACUGACGCUGAGGAGCGAAAGCGUGGGGAGCAAACAGG
rnacentral:rRNA from 1 species